rnacentral:rRNA from 1 species
UUUUUCNNUCAGGACGAACGCUGGCGGCAUGCCUAAUACAUGCAAGUCGAGCGGACUUGANGAGAAGCUUGCUUCUCUGAUGGUUAGCGGCGGACGGGUGAGUAACACGUAGGCAACCUGCCCUCAAGUUUGGGACAACUACCGGAAACGGUAGCUAAUACCGAAUAGUUGUUUUCUUCGCCUGAAGGAAACUGGAAAGACGGAGCAAUCUGUCACUUGGGGAUGGGCCUGCGGCGCAUUAGCUAGUUGGUGGGGUAACGGCUCACCAAGGCGACGAUGCGUAGCCGACCUGAGAGGGUGAUCGGCCACACUGGGACUGAGACACGGCCCAGACUCCUACGGGAGGCAGCAGUAGGGAAUCUUCCGCAAUGGGCGAAAGCCUGACGGAGCAAUGCCGCGUGAGUGAUGAAGGUUUUCGGAUCGUAAAGCUCUGUUGCCAGGGAAGAACGCUUGGGAGAGUAACUGCUCUCAAGGUGACGGUACC